GCUGCAAAGGCGGACCAAGCAUGAGCCUCCACGAGGAAAUGCCAGGAAGGCCUUAACCACUCUCAAGAUGGCAGCGACUCACACUUGCGGGAAGUCUCCCACUCCCCAAUAGCUUCACCAAGCUCCUACACUGAGGAGAGCCCCUUAACCACUACCACCAUGAGGGCAAGGACUGUAGUAACAGCGAUCUCCCAGAGCCAUAUGGAAACAUCAAGCUCUUUGCUGAUCUCUCUGCAGUUCCGCAAGUCACUGUCCACACUCCCCUCUAUACUGUAGACGAAGGACUUCUACUGCUGGGACUAUCCGGCGAAGCUACUCAUCCUGCAGCAAGGCUGUAUACAUUGUUACAACCACUGAACAGGUCCUGCAGAAGCUGUCUGACUGGGGCAUCCCACUACCGGAGUUCCAACCUGCUAUACCCGCGAAGAUACCUCGGAUGACCACGGAUUGGACCCAGUCUUAACCUUACCAUACUCUCCACACGGCUAUCGUAUGACACAAUCGGUCUAGAUGACAUGGACUAGUAACUUGUAUUUACAAUGCCUCAUUCGGUUCUACACCUGGUUUAAGCUUUGAU